UAAAUUUUAAUUUACAAUAAUAAUAUAUUUAUAUUUAUAAAUUAUUAUUAUUUAGUUUGUUAUUAAUUAUAUUUUAUAUUUAUUCAGUUAUUAUUGUAUUAAAUUCGAAUUUUAUAAAAUUUAA